rnacentral:rRNA from 1 species
GAUGAACGCUGGCGGCGUGCCUAAUACAUGCAAGUCGAACGCGCAGCGAAAGGUGCUUGCACCUUUCAAGCGAGUGGCGAACGGGUGAGUAACACGUGGAUAACCUGCCUCAAGGCUGGGGAUAACAUUUGGAAACAGAUGCUAAUACCGAAUAAAACUUAGUAUCGCAUGAUACAAAGUUGAAAGGCGCUACGGCGUCACCUAGAGAUGGGUCCGCGGUGCAUUAGUUAGUUGGUGGGGUAAAGGCCUACCAAGACAAUGAUGCAUAGCCGAGUUGAGAGACUGAUCGGCCACAUUGGGACUGAGACACGGCCCAAACUCCUACGGGAGGCUGCAGUAGGGAAUCUUCCACAAUGGGCGAAAGCCUGAUGGAGCAACGCCGCGUGUGUGAUGAAGGCUUUAGGGUCGUAAAGCACUGUUGUAUGGGAAGAAAUGCUAGAAUAGGGAAUGAUUCUAGUUCGACGGUACCAUACCAGAAAGGGACGGCUAAAUACGUGCCAGCAGCCGCGGUAAU